UACGGAGGGUGCGAGCGUUGUCCGGAAUCACUGGGCGUAAAGGGCGCGUAGGCGGCCUGAUAAGUAGGGGGUGAAAUCCUGCGGCUUAACCGCAGGGCUGCCUUCUAAACUGUCAGGCUAGAGCACGGUAGAGGCAGAUGGAAUUCCCGGUGUAGCGGUGGAAUGCGCAGAUAUCAGGAGGAACACCGGUGGCGAAGGCGGUUCUCUGGGCAUGUCCUGACGCUGAGGAGCGAAAGUGUGGGGAGCGAACAGG
rnacentral:rRNA from 1 species